rnacentral:rRNA from 1 species
AAGGAAUAUUGGUCAAUGGACGCAAGUCUGAACCAGCCAUGCCGCGUGGAGGAUUAAGGCCCUCUGGGUUGUAAACUCCUUUUAUCUGGGAAGAAAUGUACUUUUUCUUGAGUACUUGACGGUACCAGAGGAAUAAGCACCGGCUAACUCCGUGCCAGCAGCCGCGGUAAUACGGAGGGUGCAAGCGUUAUCCGGAUUCACUGGGUUUAAAGGGUGCGUAGGUGGGCAGGUAAGUCAGUGGUGAAAUCUCCGGGCUUAACCCGGAAACUGCCGUUGAUACUAUUUGUCUUGAAUAUUGUGGAGGUGAGCGGAAUAUGUCAUGUAGCGGUGAAAUGCUUAGAUAUGACAUAGAACACCAAUUGCGAAGGCAGCUUACUACACAAUCAUUGACGCUGAGGCACGAAAGCGUGGGGAUCAAACA